rnacentral:lncRNA from 1 species
UAAAGAAUGUGGUUUAUUGGGAUAGUGGAGCGAAACUGAAGGCAAAAUAAAUGUCAAGGUGUCUAAGAAGCACUGAGGGAGAUAAUCCAAGUAAGAGGAUUAGAGGAUUGGAGAAUCCCUUGUGAAAGACAUGUGGCCAGGUUGUGGGAAACUUGUACCAAAGAAAUAAUGAGAGAGGAAUAUUUGCACUGCUCUUUAUGGAUUUCUUAUUCGAGGGUAAUGGGCUGACCAUGUCCUUGGAAUUUCCACUUGCUCUCCUGGAAUCAUCACCGUGUCAGUCGUUUGUUGUAGGUGCCAGGCCCACUUCACAAUAGCGACUCCUUCCCACUCAGCCCGGCAGUGGCCUAGGUGACUCCCUCCCUCCUUUUCUUCUGCUUUGAGUCUGAUCGAAUAUAAUCCCCUCCCCUAUGUCCCUGCCUUUGGGAUCCUGUCCCUUCCCACUCCCUUUCUCAAACCCCAACCUUGGCUCUCCUCUUCUCUCUCCAGGAACACAUGUUCCUAAACACUACAGAGAGGAAGGUGUACGUAUGUGAAUGACAAACUCUGGAUUCUUCAGCAUUGAGGCCAAACCGUCCUGCAACUGGGGAAAUCAUCAGUAUUCAAGACAGCAGGCCUGUGUUCUACCUGUGCUUUAGGACAAUGCAUCUAUGUUUCCAAAGCAUCAAGAUCCCUAGAGUUACAUUCUUGGAUGGGCCAUGACAGCUGGGAAGGCCCUGCAAGUCCCCUUUCAUGCUUUGUUUGCAGCAUGGCAGGAGAGUGACUUGCAGAGGGCAAAAACAUGGUGAAGACAUAUAUUGUCCUGAUGAGAACUACAGUGAGAGGGACAGAGAAAGGAGCCAUCUAAGACUCAUCUAAGACUCAUGCAAUGGAUUUCCAAAUCAAAGGACUCUUUAAGAAAAUAAUUUUGUACCCUCAGCAUCUACGUUCCAUGCAGCUUAAAUCUCCCCAGAGCAAAGAAAUGCAUCAAAAAAGUAAAAGGAAAUAAAGAAAGAGGGAAGAAAGGAGAAAAAAAGGAAACAGAUUUUACUUUUAGCUCGUCUUCAGAUUUGCAAGAGACAAUAAGCGAGAUUCAUUAGGCCAUUUGUUUCUGUCAUCUGCCAUGAUUCAAAAUGAAAUACUAAAUGUUUCAUGGACUCAGAAAAAGAGUAAAAUUUGUCUUUGUGUUGGCUGUGUGAAGACGGUGUGUCUUGCAGCCCCAUCCGAGGGGUCUGACGGAUGAAAGGGGGAAGGGUGGUGCCGUCUGAGUGAUGAUGGGCUAAUAUCAUCACCCUCUUGUCAGCUGUAAUAGGCUUUUCCUCACAGAAAUAAUUCAUAAAACCGCUACAUUAUAUUCUAUCCCUGACAGCCCCUAUCUAUCCUCCAACCCAGCA